UGUCCAGGGAUGGGAAUCGAACCCACAGUGUUCCCCGCUUACCGGGCAGAUGCCAUGUCCACUAGGCUACCUUAGAC